rnacentral:tRNA from 1 species
GCCGGAGUGGCGGAAUUUGGUAGACGCGUUAGGUUGAGGGCCUAAUGGUCCCUAUGGACUGUACGAGUUCGAGUCUCGUCUCCGGCA